UACGUAGGGGGCAAGCGUUGUCCGGAUUUACUGGGCGUAAAGCGCGUGUAGGCGGCUACGCAGGUCCGUUGUGAAAACUGGAGGCUCAACCUCCAGACGUCGACGGAAACCGUGUGGCUAGAGUCCGGAAGAGGAGAGUGGAAUUCCUGGUGUAGCGGUGAAAUGCGCAGAUAUCAGGAAGAACACCAAUGGCGAAGGCAGCUCUCUGGGACGGUACUGACGCUGAGACGCGAAAAGCGUGGGGAGCGAACAGG
rnacentral:rRNA from 1 species